UACGUAGGCAGCAAGCGUUGUUCGGAAUCACUGGGCGUAAAGAGUGUGUAGGCGGUGCGCUAAGUAUGGUGUGAAAUCUCCCGGCUUAACUGGGAGGGUGCAUUAGAAACUGGAAUGCUAGAGGAUGGGAGAGGUAAGCGGAAUUCCUGGUGUAGCGGUGAAAUGCGUAGAUAUCAGGAGGAACACCUGUGGUGUAGACAGCUUGCUGGGCCAUUUCUGACGCUGAGACACGAAAGCGUGGGUAGCAAACAGG
rnacentral:rRNA from 1 species